rnacentral:rRNA from 1 species
UACGUAGGGGGCAAGCGUUGUCCGGAAUCAUUGGGCGUAAAGCGCGUGUAGGCGGCCCGAUAAGUCCGCUGUAAAAGUCAAAGGCUCAACCUUUGAAUGUCAGUGGAUACUGCCGGGCUAGAGUCCGGAAGAGGCGAGUGGAACUCCUGGUGUAGCGGUGGAAUGCGCAGAUAUCAGGAAGAACACCAACGGCGAAGGCAGCUCGCUAGGACGGUACUGACGCUGAGACGCGAAAGCGUGGGGAGCGAACAGG